ensembl:snRNA U6 U6 spliceosomal RNA
GUGCUCUCUUUAGCAGCACACACCCGAAAAUUGGAACAAUACAGAGAUUAGCAUGGCCCCUGCAUAAGGAUGACAUGCAAAGUCGUCAAGUGUUCCAUGUUUGG